UUGGGGUGGAGGGCCAAGGAGC
rnacentral:miRNA from 1 species